rnacentral:rRNA from 1 species
GAUGGACGCUGGCGGCGUGCCUAAUACAUGCAAGUCGAGCGAACAGACGAGGAGCUUGCUCCUCUGACGUUAGCGGCGGACGGGUGAGUAACACGUGGAUAACCUACCUAUAAGACUGGGAUAACUUCGGGAAACCGGAGCUAAUACCGGAUAAUAUAUUGAACCGCAUGGUUCAAUAGUGAAAGACGGUUUUGCUGUCACUUAUAGAUGGAUCCGCGCCGCAUUAGCUAGUUGGUAAGGUAACGGCUUACCAAGGCAACGAUGCGUAGCCGACCUGAGAGGGUGAUCGGCCACACUGGAACUGAGCCACGGUCCAGACUCCUACGGGAGGCAGCAGUAGGGAAUCUUCCGCAAUGGGCGAAAGCCUGACGGAGCAACGCCGCGUGAGUGAUGAAGGUCUUCGGAUCGUAAAACUCUGUUAUUAGGGAAGAACAAAUGUGUAAGUAACUGUGCACGUCUUGACGGUACCUAAUCAGAAAGCCACGGCUAACUACGUG